rnacentral:rRNA from 1 species
CCUACGGGAGGCAGCAGUGAGGAAUAUUGGUCAAUGGGCGCGAGCCUGAACCAGCCAAGUAGCGUGAAGGAUGAAUGCCCUACGGUUUGUAAACUUCUUUUAUAAAGGAAUAAAGUGAGGCACGCGUGCCUUUUUGCAUGUACUUUAUGAAUAAGGAUCGGCUAACUCCGUGCCAGCAGCCGCGGUAAUACGGAGGAUCCGAGCGUUAUCCGGAUUUAUUGGGUUUAAAGGGAGCGUAGACGGGUUGUUAAGUCAGCUGUGAAAGUUUGCGGCUCAACCGUAAAAUUGCAAUUGAUACUGGCAGUCUUGAGUAUAUUUGAGGCAGGCGGAAUGCGUGGUGUAGCGGUGAAAUGCAUAGAUAUCACGAAGAACUCCGAUUGCGAAGGCAGCUUACUAAGCUGUCACUGACAUUGAUGCUCGAAAGUGUGGGUAUCGAACAGGAUUAGAUACCCUUGUAGUC